rnacentral:rRNA from 1 species
GAUGAACGCUGGCGGCGUGCCUAAUACAUGCAAGUCGAGCGAACAGACGAGGAGCUUGCUCCUUUGACGUUAGCGGCGGACGGGUGAGUAACACGUGGGUAACCUACCUAUAAGGCUGGGAUAACUUCGGGAAACCGGAGCUAAUACCGGAUAAUAUUUCGAACCGCAUGGUUCGAUAGUGAAAGAUGGCUUUGCUAUCACUUAUAGAUGGACCUGCGCCGUAUUAGCUAGUUGGUAAGGUAACGGCUUACCAAGGCAACGAUACGUAGCCGACCUGAGAGGGUGAUCGGCCACACUGGAACUGAGACACGGUCCAGACUCCUACGGGAGGCAGCAGUAGGGAAUCUUGCGCAAUGGGCGAAAGCCUGACGGAGCAACGCCGCGUGAGUGAUGAAGGUCUUCGGAUCGUAAAACUCUGUUAUUAGGGAAGAACAAACGUGUAAGUAACUGUGCACGUCUUGACGGUACCUAAUCAGAAAGCCACGGCUAACUACGUG